rnacentral:rRNA from 1 species
UACGAAGGGGGGCGAGCGUUGUUCGGAAUCACUGGGCGUAAAGGGCGCGUAGGCGGCCCUCUUAGUCGCGUGUGAAAGCCCCGGGCUCAACCUGGGAACGGCGCGCGAAACGGGAGGGCUGGAGUUCGGGAGAGGAGAGUGGAAUUCCCAGUGUAGAGGUGAAAUUCGUAGAUAUUGGGAAGAACACAGUGGCGAAGGCGGCUCUCUGGACCGAGACUGACGCUGAGGCGGCGAAAAGCGUGGGGAGCAAACAGG